rnacentral:rRNA from 1 species
CCCUUAGAUGUUCUGGGCCACACGCGUGCUACACUGAGUGGAUCAGCGGGUCAGGUUACGCGAGAGCGUUUCCUAAUCUUCAAAUCCGCUCGUGAUGGGGAUUGACGGUUGCAAUUUUCCGUCAUGAACGAGGAAUACCUUGUAAGCGCGGGUCAUCAUCCCGCGCUGAAUACGUCCCUGCCCUUUGUACACACCGCCCGUCGCUCCUACCGAUUGAGUGGUCCGGUGAGGCUUUGGGAUCUAAGCGAAAAGAGCGUUUCGCUCCUUUUGCUGGGAGAACUCAGUCGAACCUUAUCAUUUAGAGGAAGGAGAAGUCGUAACA